GCAUAUACAUGCAGUUGAACGGGAUAAGUUGUAGUAAUACGGCUUUGAGAGUAGCGCACGGGUGCGUAACACGUAUGGAAUCUGCCCCUAUCUGUGGAAUAGCCCCUCGAAAGAGGGAUUAAUACCACAUAACAUAAUAUGUAGGCAUCUAUUUAUUAUCAAAGCUCAGGCGGAUAGGGAUGACCGUGCGGCUGAUUAGCUUGUUGGUGAGGUAACGGCUCACCAAGGCUACGAUCAGUAGGGGGUCUGAGAGGAUGUCCCCCCACACUGGUACUGAGACACGGACCAGACUCNUACGGGAGGCAGCAGUAGGGAAUAUUGGUCAAUGGGGGCAACCCUGAACCAGCCAUGCCGCGUGCAGGAUUAAGGCCCUAUGGGUCGUAAACUGCUUUUGUACGGGAAGAAACCUAUCUACGUGUAGAUAGUUGACGGUACCGUGAGAAUAAGGAUCGGCUAACUUCGUGCCAGCAGCCGCGGUAAUACGAAGGAUCCAAGCGUUGUCCGGAUUUACUGGGUUUUAAAGGGUGCGUAGGCGGAUAAUUAAGUCAGUGNUGAAAGCCUGCAGCUUAACUGUAGAAUUGCCAUUGAAACUGAUCGUCUCGAAUUUGGUUGAGGUAACUGGAAAUGUUGCAUGUAGCGGUGAAAUGCUUA
rnacentral:rRNA from 1 species